rnacentral:rRNA from 1 species
GAGUAAAAGUCGUAACAAGGUUUGGCCUAACGAGAUCCUUCUCGGAAGCCUUUCACACAACGACUAUAACCAUGUGUGCAGUCUAGAGAUUCUCCUUUCUAGGCGACGUCGCCCCUAUGCUGGGACCCUAUCAUUCAAUAGCGGAUCAGCAGCCAGUUCUCUGGUUCACAGAUUAGGUGGUGGCGGUCUCGGUCGGUGAGGCCGGGAUCAAGAUAUAAUCGGUCUCUAUAGCUCACGUCUAUAGUUGAGAAACGUUCCGUAGGUGAACCUGCGGAAGGAUCAUUA